GCCAGGAGAGGCAACAGUAGGUAUACCUCAGAGUCAAGAAGAUCCAAGUUCAAGUCCCACCUCUAACUCCCCCUGGCUGUUGCAUCCCAAGCAGAUAAGUCAUUUGACAUCCUGGCACCUCAGAGAUGAAGUGUCCCAAGACUGGAUAGCUAAUAUGGAGUUGGGCCAGGACUUUGGACACCAAUUCAGAAGAGGAGCCUUCUUAAAUGCCUACAGCCCUGGCCCCUACACCUCCAUUCAUCACAAUUACUGCUCCAACUGUCGGAGGCAGGGCAUGAAGCGCCAUUUGCUGACGUCCAAUAUUUUAUCACUAAUAAAGAGAAACAUUCCAAGUAUUUUCACAGUUCUGAUACUUUCCAGCACUGGGCCCAGGAGGAAUGAGAAAGUUGUGAUUUAUGCUAUCUGCUGGCAAUUGUUAAUUAGCCGUUCUGGGCUUGGGACCUUGGGGACUAAGGUUUUUCCUAGCCUGGAGCUCAGACCAAGGUCUGCUGAGACUUAGAAUGUUGUGGAAGUUUGCCUUGAGGGUUUCAUCUGGGCACACCAUAGGCAUUUAAUAAAUGUUGGGUGAGUGAUAGCUGGUGCA
rnacentral:lncRNA from 1 species